UACAGAGGAUCCAAGCGUUAUCCGGAAUCAUUGGGUUUAAAGGGUCCGUAGGCGGUUUUAUAAGUCAGUGGUGAAAUCUGGUCGCUCAACGAUCAAACGGCCAUUGAUACUGUAGAACUUGAAUUACUUGGAAGUAACUAGAAUAUGUAGUGUAGCGGUGAAAUGCUUAGAGAUUACAUGGAAUACCAAUUGCGAAGGCAGGUUACUACGAGUAUAUUGACGCUGAUGGACGAAAGCGUGGGGAGCGAACAGG
rnacentral:rRNA from 1 species